GCGGCAGUAGCUCAGUGGUAGAGCCCCCCCCCCCCCUCUCUCUCCCCCGGGGAGACAUGGGUUCGAUUCCCGGCUGCUUCC
rnacentral:tRNA from 1 species